GUGUCAGCCGCCGCGGUAAUACGGAGGAUGCAAGCGUUAUCCGGAUUUAUUGGGUUUAAAGGGUGCGCAGGCGGUAUAAUAAGUCAGUGGUGAAAGUCUGCCGCUUAACGGUAGGAUUGCCAUUGAUACUGUUAGACUUGAGUAUGGAUGAGGUAGGUGGAAUGUGUAGUGUAGCGGUGAAAUGCAUAGAUAUUACACAGAACGUCGAUUGCGAAGGCAGCUUACUAAUCCAUUACUGACGCUGAGGCACGAAAGCGUGGGGAUCAAACAGGAUUAGAAACCCCCGUAGUCC
rnacentral:rRNA from 1 species